UACAGAGGGUGCGAACGUUGUUCGGAAUUACUGGGCGUAAAGCGCGUGUAGGCGGCAGCGUAAGUCGGGCGUGAAAUCCCACGGCUCAACCGUGGAAGUGCACUCGAAACUGCGCAGCUAGAGUCCUGGAGAGGAAGGUGGAAUGCUUGGUGUAGAGGUGAAAUUCGUAGAUAUCAAGCGGAACACCGGUGGCGAAGGCGGCCUUCUGGACAGUGACUGACGCUGAGACGCGAAAGCGUGGGGAGCAAACAGG
rnacentral:rRNA from 1 species